rnacentral:rRNA from 1 species
UACGUAGGGUGCAAGCGUUGUCCGGAAUUAUUGGGCGUAAAGAGCUUGUAGGCGGUUUGUCGCGUCUGCUGUGAAAUUUCGGGGCUCAACCCCGAACUUGCAGUGGGUACGGGCAGACUAGAGUGUGGUAGGGGAGACUGGAAUUCAUGGUGUAGCAGUGAAAUGCGUAGAGAUCAUGAGGAAGACCAGUGGCGAAGGCGGGUCUCUGGACAGUUCCUGACACUGAGACACGAAGGCCAGGGGAGCAAACGGG